rnacentral:rRNA from 1 species
UAAAUUUUAUUUAUUAAUUUUAUUUAUUUAAGUAUUAUAUUUAAUAAAAAUAAUUUUAAUUCAAUAUAGUUUUAGUAUUUUUUAAAGAAAUAAUAAUUUUAAUAAUAGUUUAUUUGUAUUGUAAAAGAAGAUUGAAAUAAUUUGAAAAAUUUUUAUUUUAAAAGAAAAUUUAAUUUAUUGUACCUUGUGUAUCAGGGUUUAUUAAUUAAUUAAUUAUUAUAGUAAUUUUUCUCGAAUUUUAAAGAUUUAAUUAUAUAUAAAAGUUAUUGUGGAAUAAUUAUUUUUAAUAUAUAAUUAGAAAUGAAAUGUUAAUCGUUUUAAAAUAUAUCUAGUUUUUUAAGAAAUAAAUUUAAUUUAGAUUUAUAAAUUAAAAGUAUUAUUUAUUUAAUAUUUUUAAUUUAUAAAAUUAAUAUUUUAAGGGAUUAGCUUUAAAAUAAAUUUUUAAAUUUUAAAAAAGUAUUUAAUAAAUGUAAGCUUAAAAAUAGUUAUCAUUAAUAAAUUUGUUAUAAUUUAUUUUAAAUUUUUUAUUAUUUAUUAUAAAAUUAAAUUAUUUAUUAAAAUAUAAAUUUUAAUAUUAAUGAUUUAUAAAUUAUGGUAAAAUUAGUAUAUUUAAUUUAUAUAAAUUAUUUAAAUUGAGAGGUUUAAAUAAGGAAUUCGGCAAAUUAUAUAUUCACCUGUUUAUCAAAAACAUGUCUUUUUGUAUUUAAUUUAAAGUCUAACCUGCCCACUGAUAGAUAUUAAAGGGCCGCAGUAUUUUGACUGUGCGAAGGUAGCAUAAUCAGUAGUCUUUUAAUUGAAGGCUUGUAUGAAUGGUUGAAUGAGAUAUAUACUGUCUUUUUUAAAUUUUUAUAGAAUUUUAUUUUUUAAUUAAAAAGUUAAAAUAUAAUUAAAAGACGAGAAGACCCUAUAGAUCUUUAUUUUUUUUAAUUAUAAGUUAAAAAGAAUAAUUAAAUUUAUAGUUUUAUAAAAAAUUUUACUGGGGUGGUAUUAAAAUUUAAUUAACUUUUAUUAUUUGUUUACAUUAAUAUAUGUAUAUUUGAUCCAAUUUUAUUGAUUAAAAAAUUAAGUUACCUUAGGGAUAACAGCGUAAUUUUUUUUUAGAGUUCUUAUCGACAAAAAAGAUUGCGACCUCGAUGUUGGAUUAAGAAUUAUUUUUAGGUGUAGAAGUUUAAAGUUUAGGUCUGUUCGACCUUUGAAUUCUUACAUGAUCUGAGUUCAAACCGGCGUAAGCCAGGUUGGUUUCUAUCUUUAAUAAAUUAUUAUAUUAUAGUACGAAAGGACCUAAUAUAAAAAAUAUAAAUUUUAAAUUUAUGAAUUAUAUUAAUAUUUAAUAA